rnacentral:rRNA from 1 species
UACAGAGGGUGCAAGCGUUAAUCGGAAUUACUGGGCGUAAAGCGUGCGUAGACGGUUAUUUAAGUCAGGUGUGAAAGCCCCGGGCUCAACCUGGGAAUUGCAUUUGAGACUGAAUAGCUAGGGUGCGGAAGAGGGAAGCGGAAUUUCCGGUGUAGCGGUGAAAUGCGUAGAUAUCGGAAGGAACACCAGCGGCGAAGGCGGCGAUCUGGGCAGAUAUUGACGCUGAGGUGCGAAAGCGUGGGGAGCAAACAGG